rnacentral:lncRNA from 1 species
GAGUCCGCCUACUCAUUUUGGAAACUCUGGCACUGUUUGGCCUCCCCACCUGUCACCGUCACCCACCAGUGCCCCAUCGUUCUUCAGUGGGCAGUGGGGCUGUCAUCUGGCACCUUCUGCUCCUCAGCAAAGCCCUCAGAGCUGGUUUGCCUUCAUCAGAACCCUGGGAACCUUGCCAUUUCUAGAACAAACGGGGGCCUGGCUGUGGCCACAGAGUUCAAGAGGUCCGCCUCUGCCCUCAGGUCUGCCCAUCUCUGAACCCACUCAGGCCCCCCCAUCUCUGAACCCACUCAGGCCCCACCCACCUGCUUGGCCCACCCACGGCUCCACCCAGACCUGUGCAGCCAACCCCACCUCUGGUCCUACUCCCCUCAGAGUCCCCUGUAUGUGCUGCAGAGCUGUGUUCCAAGUCUCCCCAUGCAGAAAGAUGUUCAUCUCUGUAGGUGCCCCCCACCCCGACCCCAAGCACCCCAGCAUUCAAACCUUGCCUUGCAGGUGUGGGAGAUGAUGAAGGCUGCUGACCCUCCUUGGUGCCUGUCCUGUCUGUGUCCAUCUAUCCGUCCAUCCAUUUGCUCUUCUCCCCCUCCCCCGUGUCUUUCCUGCCCUUGAUGUAGCAACUGUUACGCAGCGAGUGCCCAUUG